rnacentral:miRNA from 1 species
UACCUCAUUGACUAGAAGGAAUCCUUUCCAGUCAAUGAGGUUGGGGGGUUUGCAGCAAGGACUCGGGCUCUCCCUUAAACCUCAUCAACGGGAAGGGAUUCCUUCUGGUCAAUGAGGGA